CAUCUCUCUCUGUUAGGGGGUUGGUAUUAUCAUCAUCUCUCUCUCUUUUAGGGGGUUGGUAUUAUCAUCAUCUCUCUCUGUUAGGGGGUUGGUAUUAUCAUAAUCUCUCUCUCUGUUAGGGGGUUGGUAUUAUCAUCAUCUCUCUCUCUGUUAGGGGGUUGGUAUUAUCAUCAUCAUCUCUCUCUGUUAGGGGGUUGGUAUUAUCAUCAUCUCUCUCUCUGUUAGGGGGUUGGUAUUAUCAUCAUCUCUCUCUGUUAGGGGGUUGGUAUUAUCAUCAUCUCUCUCUGUUAAGGGGUUGGUAUUAUCAUCAUCAUCUCUCUCUCUGUUAGGGGGUUGGCAUUAUCAUCAUCUCUCUCUGUUAGGGGGUUGGUAUUAUCAUCAUCUCUCUCUCUGUUAGGGGGUUGGUAUUAUCAUCAUCUCUCGCUCUGUUAGGAGGUUGGUAUUAUCAUCAUCUCUCUCUGUUAGGGGGUUGGUAUUAUCAUCAUCUCUCUCUUUUAGGGGGUUGGUAUUAUCAUCAUCUCUCUCUGUUAGGUGGUUGGUAUUAUCAUCAUCUCUCUCUGUUAGGGGGUUGGUAUUAUCAUCAUCUCUCUCUCUGUUAGGGGGUUGGUAUUAUCAUCAUCAUCUCUCUCUGUUAGGGGGUUGGUAUUAUCAUCAUCUCUCUCUCUGUUAGGGGGUUGGUAUUAUCAUCAUCUCUCUCUCUGUUAGGGGGUUGGUAUUAUCAUCAUCUCUCGCUCUGUUAGGAGGUUGGUAUUAUCAUCAUCUCUCUCUGUUAGGGGGUUGGUAUUAUCAUCAUCUCUCUCUUUUAGGGGGUUGGUAUUAUCAUCAUCUCUCUCUGUUAGGGGGUUGGCAUUAUCAUCAUCUCUCUCUGUUAGGGGGUUGGUAUUAUCAUCAUCUCUCUCUCUGUUAGGGGGUUGGUAUUAUCAUCAUCUCUCGCUCUGUUAGGAGGUUGGUAUUAUCAUCAUCUCUCUCUGUUAGGGGGUUGGUAUUAUCAUCAUCUCUCUCUUUUAGGGGGUUGGUAUUAUCAUCAUCUCUCUCUGUUAGGUGGUUGGUAUUAUCAUCAUCUCUCUCUGUUAGGGGGUUGGUAUUAUCAUCAUCUCUCUCUCUGUUAGGGGGUUGGUAUUAUCAUCAUCAUCUCUCUCUGUUAGGGGGUUGGUAUUAUCAUCAUCUCUCUCUCUGUUAGGUGGUUGGUAUUAUCAUCUCUCUCUGUUAGGGGGUUGAGACCAGUGUGUGUACACGGAUGGGCAGUAUUUGAAUUCUUCUUUGUUUAUAAUACUUUGUAUUCCACUACGCUGAACUACACUCCAAUUUAUUUUGGUACAAGAUACUUUAGAGAGCUUUAAUUAUUUAUUUUUUUAAACAUAAUACUUUUCUAUAUCAUUUUUUUGAAGGCCAACAAAAAUACCCAGUGUGCUUUGCAGUUCAUUUUGGUGUGUUGAUUUUACAUGUUGUUAUAUUAGCAGACGCUCUUAUCCAGAGAGACUUCCUGUCGGUGUAUUCAACCGAGGUAGAUAAACAACACGUCACCGUCACAGGAAGUUAAAUGGUAACGUGUCCGUUAAUGACGAUGUUGUUGCAGUUCGGCAGAUGUAUUUCUGGAUUCCUGCAAUUUUUAAAAUACAAUAUACAAGUUAUUUUCAUACAUUGAUCUUAAUGGUAUUUUUUUGUUGUAUUUUGUAACGGUAUUCUGUAAUUUUAUAUUGUAACGGUAUUUUGUAACUGUAUUUUGUAACUGAUUUUGUAACUGUAUUUUGUAACUGACCAUAGAAAGCUUUUAUUUUCUAUGGUAGGUCAGGGCGUGACGGGGUUUUGUCUAGUUUAUUUAUAUGUUGGUUCUAGUUUCUUUUUUCUAUGUUUGGGUUUUGUCUAGUUUCUGUUUUUCUAUGUGGGGUUCUAGUUUCUGUAUUUCUAUGUUGGUUUUGUUUGGGAUGAUCUCCAAUUAGAGGCAGCUGGUCGUCGUUGUCUCUAAUUGGGGAUCGUAUUUACGUGGUUGUUUUUCCCACCUGGGUUUGUGGGAGAUUGUUUUUGAGUAAGUGUAUGUUGCAC
rnacentral:lncRNA from 1 species